rnacentral:rRNA from 1 species
GAUGAACGCUGGCGGCGUGCCUAAUACAUGCAAGUCGAGCGAACGGACGAGAAGCUUGCUUCUCUGAUGUUAGCGGCGGACGGGUGAGUAACACGUGGAUAACCUACCUAUAAGACUGGGAUAACUUCGGGAAACCGUAGCUAAUACCGGAUAAUAUUUUGAACCGCAUGGUUCAAAAGUGAAAGACGGUCUUGCUGUCACUUAUAGAUGGAUCCGCGCUGCAUUAGCUAGUUGGUAAGGUAACGGCUUACCAAGGCAACGAUGCAUAGCCGACCUGAGAGGGUGAUCGGCCACACUGGAACUGAGACACGGUCCAGACUCCUACGGGAGGCAGCAGUAGGGAAUCUUCCGCAAUGGGCGAAAGCCUGACGGAGCAACGCCGCGUGAGUGAUGAAGGUCUUCGGAUCGUAAAACUCUGUUAUUAGGGAAGAACAUAUGUGUAAGUAACUGUGCACAUCUUGACGGUACCUAAUUAGAAAGCCACGGCUAACUACGUG